GAUGAAGAACGCAGCGAAAUGCGAUAAGUAAUGUGAAUUGCAGAAUUCAGUGAAUCAUCGAAUCUUUGAACGCACCUUGCACCCUUUGGCAUUCCGAAGGGUAUGCUCGUUUGAGUGUCAUUGUACUCUCACACUCUCCGAUCCUAUGGAUUCGGGGAGCGGUGGACUUGGGUGUUGCUGCCUUUCCCUGUGGCUCACUUCAAAUGCGUCAGUGCACCUCUUGGUUGGACAUAGUACGGCGUGAUAAGUGUCUUCGCCGGCACCUCGCAAGAGGGUGGCCGAUCGGGAGCUCUGCGCUUUCAAACCGUCUUCGGACAAUUUCUGACAUCUUGACCUCAAAUCGAGUAGGACUACCCGCUGAACUUAAGCAUAUCAAUAAGCGGAGGA
rnacentral:misc_RNA from 1 species